GCACCAAGCAUACAUACGUGCAGUGGGCAGACGGGUGAGUACGCGUGGGAACGUACCUUUUGGUUCGGAACAACUGAGGGAAACUUGAGCUAAUACCGGAUAAGCCCUUACGGGGAAAGAUUUAUCGCCGAAAGAUCGGCCCGCGUCUGAUUAGCUAGUUGGUGGGGUAAUGGCCCACCAAGGCGACGAUCAGUAGCUGGUCUGAGAGGAUGAUCAGCCACAUUGGGACUGAGACACGGCCCAAACUCCUACGGGAGGCAGCAGUGGGGAAUAUUGGACAAUGGGCGAAAGCCUGAUCCAGCCAUGCCGCGUGAGUGAUGAAGGCCCUAGGGUUGUAAAGCUCUUUUGUGCGGGAAGAUAAUGACGGUACCACAAGAAUAAGCCCCGGCUAACUUCUUGCCAGCAGCCGCGGUAAUACGA
rnacentral:rRNA from 1 species